UGGCUGGUGAGUUUUCCAACUUGCACACAUACAAACGGACAGGUGUGCACUGAGAACGUAAAUUGAACUACUGGGAAAAUAAGCUUUAAUUUAGGAUACAGGAAACAAAACGUCUGAAUGAAGUCAGAAAUGACUCUACUGUAACGUCCAGCUGGUGCUGUUGCCCCCCAUUCCAAAACUGAGUACUGUCAUGGUAAUCAUGGACCAUCUUGUGCCGUCCGGGAAAUGACGGAUGGUUAAAAGUGAGGCAGUUCAGCAGAAGGCUUUUCCAUGCUCCCUGUCUGUCCUAUCCAUUAGACCACGUUUGUCACAUGAGGGUCAUUUAGUCGGCACAGUGUUGUAAAAUUGGCUUUUUGACAUGGCCACCAGUACAAAGGCCCCCCUCUCCUCUGUGUUUGGCCUUUUAGAGUGCAGAUGGCCCAGACAGCUGGGACAAUUUAGUGAUCUGAGGCUCUUAAACUGGCCCCCAGGCAUGAUAAAACCAGCUUGACUAGCCACUAGCAUAUUCUGGAUUGUUUCAAGGGCUUUUAAGAGGGAAUUGAUCAGGAUACUAAAACAGGAUUAUCUACGAUGAGCUAAACAAAUGUAUGUUGUAUAAUAACCAUUCUGAUAGUUCAUUUUAAUGCAUAAAGUUGGGUCGAGUGCUGAUUUCAGUUGGUGUAACACGAACAAACAGCUGUUGUGUAAUGUUAUCACUUGGAUGUGGGUGCAAUCAGUUUGCCACCUAAAGGGAAGUCUUUUAUUUGAAUUCUUUAAAUGGUUAAGAUGUUACAAUGAUGUCAUAAAAAAUGGCCCAGACCUCCUUGGUUUUGCCUUGGCUCGAGGCCGCUCAGUCACAGAGGCCCAGCGAGUAUGUGAGGCUGCAGGCCUGAUCAACCCUCUCAACAGCUGUUUAAUGAACACAGGGACCCCUUUUUUCUCUGGAAAUGAGUUUUCCCUUGAAAACUGUGGAAGCCGUAUCCAGGUCUAUUUAAAUGAGGUAACAUGGGGAAGGUAAGCACCACCACAUGAGCAUUGUUUUCACAGUUCAAAGUGAGGAGAGAGUACUUUGCACUUCAA